rnacentral:rRNA from 1 species
CCUACGGGAGGCAGCAGUGAGGAAUAUUGGUCAAUGGACGAGAGUCUGAACCAGCCAAGUAGCGUGAAGGAUGACUGCCCUAUGGGUUGUAAACUUCUUUUAUAUGGGAAUAAAAUGUUCCACGUGUGGGUUUUUGUAUGUACCAUAUGAAUAAGGAUCGGCUAACUCCGUGCCAGCAGCCGCGGUAAUACGGAGGAUCCGAGCGUUAUCCGGAUUUAUUGGGUUUAAAGGGAGCGUAGGUGGAUUGUUAAGUCAGUUGUGAAAGUUUGCGGCGCAACCGUAAAAUUGCAGUUGAAACUGGCAGUCUUGAGUACAGUAGAGGUAGGCGGAAUUCGUGGUGUAGCGGUGAAAUGCUUAGAUAUCACGAAGAACUCCGAUUGCGAAGGCAGCUCACUGGACUGCAACUGACACUGAGGCUCGAAAGUGUGGGUAUCAAACAGGAUUAGAUACCCCUGUAGUC